rnacentral:rRNA from 1 species
GACGAACGCUGGCGGCGUGCUUAACACAUGCAAGUCGAACGAAGAGCGAUGGAAGCUUGCUUCUAUCAAUCUUAGUGGCGAACGGGUGAGUAACGCGUAAUCAACCUGCCCUUCAGAGGGGGACAACAGUUGGAAACGACUGCUAAUACCGCAUACGAUCUAAUCUCGGCAUCGAGGAAAGAUGAAAGGUGGCCUCUAUUUAUAAGCUAUCACUGAAGGAGGGGAUUGCGUCUGAUUAGCUAGUUGGAGGGGUAACGGCCCACCAAGGCGAUGAUCAGUAGCCGGUCUGAGAGGAUGAACGGCCACAUUGGGACUGAGACACGGCCCAGACUCCUACGGGAGGCAGCAGUGGGGAAUCUUCCGCAAUGGACGAAAGUCUGACGGAGCAACGCCGCGUGAGUGAUGACGGCCUUCGGGUUGUAAAGCUCUGUUAAUCGGGACGAAAGGCCUUCUUGCGAACAGUUA